rnacentral:rRNA from 1 species
UACAGAGGUCUCAAGCGUUGUUCGGAUUCAUUGGGCGUAAAGGGUGCGUAGGUGGCGCGCUAAGUCAGGUGUGAAAUUUCGGAGCUUAACUCCGAAACUGCAUUUGAUACUGGCGUGCUUGAGGACUGGAGAGGAGACUGGAAUUCACGGUGUAGCAGUGAAAUGCGUAGAGAUCAUGAGGAAGACCAGUGGCGAAGGCGGGUCUCUGGACAGUUCCUGACACUGAGAUACGAAGGCCAGGGGAGCAAACGGG